AUUGAACGCUGGCGGCAUGCCUUACACAUGCAAGUCGAACGGCAGCACGGGAGCAAUCCUGGUGGCGAGUGGCGAACGGGUGAGUAAUAUAUCGGAACGUGCCCAGUCGUGGGGGAUAACGUAGCGAAAGCUACGCUAAUACCGCAUACGAUCUAUGGAUGAAAGCGGGGGAUCGCAAGACCUCGCGCGAUUGGAGCGGCCGAUAUCAGAUUAGGUAGUUGGUGAGGUAAAGGCUCACCAAGCCGACGAUCUGUAGCUGGUCUGAGAGGACGACCAGCCACACUGGGACUGAGACACGGCCCAGACUCCUACGGGAGGCAGCAGUGGGGGAAUUUUUGGACAAUGGGCGCAAGCCUGAUCCAGCAAUGCCGCGUGCAGGAUGAAGGCCUCGGUUGGUUAACGUA
rnacentral:rRNA from 1 species